GAUUAACGCUAGCGGCAGGCAUAAUACAUGCAAGUUGAACGGCAGCACAGGUAGCAAUACUGGGUGGCGAGUGGCGCACGGGUUCGUAACACGUAUGCAACCUACCCUAUACAGGCGAAUAACCUUUAGAAAUGAGGGCUAAUACGCCGUAGUAUUACAGAUGGGCAUCUAUUUGUAAUUAAAGAUUUAUCGGUAUAGGAUGGGCAUGCGUCCCAUUAGUUAGUUGGUAAGGUAACGGCUUACCAAGACGAUGAUGGGUAGGGGAUCUGAGAGGACUUACCCCCACACUGGUACUGAGACACGGACCAGACUCCUACGGGAGGCAGCAGUAAGGAAUAUUGGGCAAUGGCCGCGAGGCUGACCCAGCCAUGCCGCGUGCAGGAAGACGGCCUUAUGGGUUGUAAACUGCUUUUAUACGGGAAUAAUAGAGUGUACGCGUACAUUUAUGCAAGUAUCGUAUGAAUAAGCAUCGGCUAACUCCGUG
rnacentral:rRNA from 1 species